rnacentral:misc_RNA from 1 species
GAUGAAGAACGUAGCGAAAUGCGAUAAGUAAUGUGAAUUGCAGAAUUCAGUGAAUCAUCGAAUCUUUUAACGCACAUUGCGCCCGUCAGUAUUCUGGCGGGCAUGCCUGUUCGAGCGUCAUUACGCCCCUCAAGUCCCCUGUGGACUUGGUGUUGGGGAUCGGCGAGGCUGGUUUUCCAGCACAGCCGUCCCUUAAAUUAAUUGGCGGUCUCGCCGUGGCCCUCCUCUGCGCAGUAGUAAAACACUCGCAACAGGAGCCCGGCGCGGUCCACUGCCGUAAAACCCCCCAACUUUUUAUAGUUGACCUCGAAUCAGGUAGGACUACCCGCUGAACUUAAGCAUAUCAAUAAGCGGAGGA